GUGAGGAAUAAAAGACCUGAUACACAUAGAGAAGCUAGCAGAGGGCCUGGCACAAGGAAACUAGCAUGAUGUCCCUUCCAGUGCUGCCGUCUGGUAGGUGGCCUUGUGACAACAAUGGGUAGGAACUCUCUUCACUGGAAACAGCAGCUCAAACUAUGAUGAUGCGCAGGCUCAGCGGCCAUGGCUCACGGGCCCAGCCGCUCCGCGGCAUGUGGGAUCCUCCCGGACCGGGGUACGAACCCGCGUCCCCUGCAUCGGCAUGCGGACUCUCAACCACUGCGCCACCAGGGAAGCCCGAAGCCCUGGGCAGCGGUAUGUGACGCAGGUGGCCAUGCCUCAAUGCCAGUUGUGUUCAAAGCCAGCGGCCCUGUUUUCUCAGAGCUGCUCCAGAACUCCCAAGUGAUGUGGCUGACUCCCUUGGCAAGACUGGCCUCAGUUUCCCUGGGAUGAGCAAGUCGGAAGGUGAAGACCCAAGG